rnacentral:rRNA from 1 species
UCAUGGCUCAGAUUGAACGCUGGCGGCAUGCUUACACAUGCAAGUCGAACGGUAACGCGGGGGCAACCCUGGCGACGAGUGGCGAACGGGUGAGUAAUACAUCGGAACGUGUCCUGAGGUGGGGGAUAACCUAUCGAAAGGUAGGCUAAUACCGCAUACGCUCGGGAGAGGAAAGCGGGGGAUCGCAAGACCUCGCGUCUGAGGAGCGGCCGAUGUCCGAUUAGCUAGUUGGUGGGGUAAAGGCUUACCAAGGCGACGAUCGGUAGCUGGUCUGAGAGGAUGAUCAGCCACACUGGGACUGAGACACGGCCCAGACUCCUACGGGAGGCAGCAGUGGGGAAUUUUGGACAAUGGGGGCAACCCUGAUCCAGCCAUGCCGCGUGAGUGAAGAAGGCCUUCGGGUUGUAAAGCUCUUUCGGUGGGAACGAAACGGUUACGACUAAUACUCGUGACUAAUGACGGUACUCACAGAAGAAGCACCGGCUAACUACGUGCCAGCCGCGGC